rnacentral:rRNA from 1 species
GACGAACGCUGGCGGCGUGCUUAACACAUGCAAGUCGAACGGAAAGGCCCUGCUUUUGUGGGGUGCUCGAGUGGCGAACGGGUGUGUAACACGUGAGUCACCUGCCCUUGACUUUGGUAUAACUUCAGGAAACUGGGGCAAAUACCGGAUAGGAGCUCCUGCUGAAUGGUGGGGGUUGGAAAGUUUCGGCGGUUGGGGAUGGAGGCGCGGCUUAUCAGCUUGUUGGUGGGGUAGUGGCUUAACCAGGCUUUGACGGGUAGCCGGCCUGAGAGGGUGACCGGCCACAUUGGGACUGAGAUACGGCCCAGACUCCUACGGGAGGCAGAACUGAGGAAUAUUGCACAAGGGGCGGAGGCCUGAUGCAGCAACGCCGCGUGCGGGAUGACGGCCUUCGUGUUGUAAACCGUUUUCGCCUGUGACGAAGCGUGAGUGACGGUAGUGGGUAAAGAAGCACCGGCUAACUACGUG